AUAUAUAUUAGUAUUUCGGGUGAUGGGCAAAUACGUGUUUGACUAGUCCUCAAACUGUUCUGAUAGGUAGGAUUGUAUGCCUAUUGGAAGGGACCUGUAUGGAAAGGUUAUGUGAUCGCCAAAGGGCGAGCGCUGUCAUUGCCAAAUAGUGAACUGAAGUAACUGUAUGUGCCUUUGUGACUGAUCAUUAAUAUUGGCUGAAAUGAAAGAAAAUCCAAUCUGCUUCAGUCCACUGUUAUCUCUGUAGGUCACAAUAUGAAUGACCCAAUGAUUGUCGAACCCAGCAGCAAGCACUACCCUGCUGCAGUCGCUGUGCAUCACUGUCAUGAAAAUGGAAUCCUUUCAGGCAACAUGUGCUUGUACAGUUUUUCUAGCAUUUCUUGAUUGACCUAAUGUAAGUGGCUCAUGUUGAGUAGCAUUAUAUCCAAACCGAUAAACCUCAUAUUAACAAAAGCUAGUGCUAAGAGAAAUCAGAGAUCAUGCCAUCUGGGAGGGGGAUCUAAGAUGCCAGUAGUGCUAGAUAACAGAGUAGAGUUUAUUUCAGUGACUUGGCCUACUGCCCUUUACACAAACUGUUUCUGUAAGCUCAGGCUAACACAUUUCAACAAACCAAGCUUUAUUGCAGAGACUUAUAAUUCUUGUUACCAGCCCACAAACCCUUCUGGACAAAAAUCUCUAAAUUACUAAAAAAGUGAGCACUGUCCAGUCCUGAGGUUCCUAUCUGUUGCAAGCAAUGCAUACUUUUUAUAAAGGAGUGAACGCACCACUUUGUGGUUACUGCAUAGCUUUUCAAAUCGAUAGGCCCCCCCAUAAUAAUCGCUGUCAUAAAAAUGUAAAAACGUUAUUAUCCAAAUGUGCAAAAGAGGAGGGUUCCUUUUUGUUAGGUGACGAUGUCACCACUUGAGUGAUGUGGACACUUCUACUGGCUGCCCAGUGACGUGUCCUCCCAUGAUCCAGAAGACCUACAGAACUGGUGAUGUUGCAAGGGGACUGGCGAAGGAUGGGCCAGCAUGGGCACAUAUGCAGUGCUGAAUUACAGGUCCUUGGCACCAACGAGGGACACAGACGGCAGACUUUGGUAAAUAUAAAAUACUCAAACCCUCUCUGGAUUUUUUGAAAUGCUGCCAUUGUAGCAAUUGAAUUGUUCCUUUUUAAAUUUGGUCACAAUAAGCAGUUCUUUCAGACCCUUUAUGCAUAAGGGCUGGGAAAGGUACGUGGUAUUCCAUGGCAGCUCAUCAAAACUGGCCCUAUUUUUAUUGCAUAAGGCUGAGUUGGGUUAUAGCCCACAAUCGCUCUACACAUUUCUAUUCUAUGUAUGUGCGUUUUUUUUUUUUUUUAAUGAGCAUGAAGAUGUGCCUUUUAACAUAUCUUGUAUUUUAAUUUAUCUUUUAUCCGUGUAUAAUCAUGUAUUGAGCAGGGUUAGAAUCUAAGUGUUUGACAUAUGUGUAACAUUUGAAAAGGUCAUUUCUAUUUUAGCCAUUUGGCAUGUCUGGAAAUGCAUUUCAACAGGGCUGUUGGGCCAUGUCAUUUUAAAAAUGGAGAGUGGUUUCUGUAAAAAAAAAAAAAAAUGUACAUUUCAUAUUUUUACUCCUCAGACGUAUAUGUA